rnacentral:lncRNA from 1 species
ACCAGCUUCAGCUUCUCGAGCCGCUCCAGUUUCCCCAGGUAGGUCGCGUCGACGAGCGCGUUGAGGUCGCCCUCGGAUGCCGAGGUUCUUGAGGUUCGAGGCCCGGUUGAAGAGCUCCUCCUUGCAGCACUCCGCCAUCAGCCGGCUCAGCGUCUGGAGAUUCUCCCCGCCGCCGCCCCUCACCUCCUUGAGCUUGAUCGCCGCCUUCGUCUUCAGGUGCCGCAGCUGCAUCAUCUUCGAGAUGUCCACUUUAAUCUCGAACUCGCGCGAGGCGGUGUCGAUCUUCACGGUCUGCAGGUUCCAGAGCUUCGACACCG